AGCCAUUGCACUUUUUUUUUUCUGCAGAUGUAGCAUUUAAAGCCUGAACUAGACACCUUCUUAGGCCUUCCAGACAAGUUGGAGACUUUGGAGCUCAGAAAGGGGCUUCUGAAAGGCAGGGCUGGCUUGUCGCAGCACACAAAUCAGCUGGGAGCUGAGCCAGGGCAUAGAGCCUGAAACCACAGUGAGGGGCAUGGAAGGAAGGAAACAGCAGUAAGAGCAUCACAAGAAGAAGGCAAGCACUGGCCUAGCAAAGCUGGCUAUGACCAUCCGCCGCUUAAGAGGAGCCACCUGCUGUGCUGCUCCUUUGAUGUGCCACUACCUGCCCGAGGCCCAACCUGCCUGAGGCAGAACCUGUUGUCUUCCAAGAUUUUCUGGAGUUAGCACCGAACUGCAAUCUUCACGAGUUCCCACUAAAAGACUGACCUAUCUACUUCAAAGAAACUUUGCAUGGCUAGGUAUGGGCCUCCCCUCUUCUUUAUAAAGCGUGUUUGCUGACAUUAAAAUUGAACUUUGAUCAGAA